AUUGAACGCUGGCGGCAUGCCUUACACAUGCAAGUCGAACGGUAACAGGUCUUCGGAUGCUGACGAGUGGCGAACGGGUGAGUAAUACAUCGGAACGUGCCCGAUCGUGGGGGAUAACGCAGCGAAAGCUGUGCUAAUACCGCAUACGAUCUACGGAUGAAAGCGGGGGAUCGCAAGACCUCGCGCGGACGGAGCGGCCGAUAGCAGAUUAGGUAGUUGGUGGGAUAAAAGCUUACCAAGCCGACGAUCUGUAGCUGGUCUGAGAGGACGACCAGCCACACUGGGACUGAGACACGGCCCAGACUCCUACGGGAGGCAGCGGUGGGGAAUUUUGGACAAUGGGGGAAACCCUGAUCCAGCCAUGCCGCGUGCAGGAUGAAGGCCUUCGGGUUGUAAACUGCUUUUGUACGGAACGAAAAGGUCCUUUCUAAUAAAGAGGGCUCAUGACGGUACCGUAAGAAUAAGCACCGGCUAACUACGUG
rnacentral:rRNA from 1 species